GUCUAUGACCAUAGUACCCUGAAUGUACCCAAUCCCAUCUGAUCUCAGAAGUUAAGCAGGACUGGACCUUGUUAGUACUUGGUUGGGAGAAAAGGUGGCAUAGAUA
rfam:Gorilla gorilla gorilla genomic chromosome, chr13, whole genome shotgun sequence